rnacentral:rRNA from 1 species
UAGGGAAUCUUCCGCAAUGGACGCAAGUCUGACGGAGCAACGCCGCGUGAGUGAAGAAGGAUUUCGGUUCGUAAAACUCUGUUGUUAGAGAAGAACAGCGCAUAGAGUAACUGUUAUGCGUGUGACGGUAUCUAACCAGAAAGCCACGGCUAACUACGUGCCAGCAGCCGCGGUAAUACGUAGGUGGCAAGCGUUGUCCGGAUUUAUUGGGCGUAAAGCGAGCGCAGGCGGUCAAUUAAGUCUGAUGUGAAAGCCCCCGGCUCAACCGGGGAGGGUCAUUGGAAACUGGUUGUCUUGAGUGCAGAAGAGGAGAGUGGAAUUCCAUGUGUAGCGGUGAAAUGCGUAGAUAUAUGGAGGAACACCAGUGGCGAAGGCGACUCUCUGGUCUGUAACUGACGCGGAGGCUCGAAAGCGUGGGUAGCAAACAGG